GAUGAACGCUGGCGGCGUGCCUAAUACAUGCAAGUCGAGCGAACAGACGAGGAGCUUGCUUCUCUGACGUUAGCGGCGGACGGGUGAGUAACACGUGGAUAACCUACCUAUAAGACUGGGAUAACUUCGGGAAACCAGAGCUAAUACCGGAUAAUAUAUUGAACCGCAUGGUUCAAUAGUGAAAGACGGUUUUGCUGUCACUUAUAGAUGGAUCCGCGCCGCAUUAGCUAGUUGGUAAGGUAACGGCUUACCAAGGCAACGAUGCGUAGCCGACCUGAGAGGGUGAUCGGCCACACUGGAACUGAGACACGGUCCAGACUCCCACGGGAGGCAGCAGUAGGGAAUCUUCCGCAAUGGGCGAAAGCCUGACGGAGCAACGCCGCGUGAGUGAUGAAGGUCUUCGGAUCGUAAAACUCUGUUAUUAGGGAAGAACAAAUGUGUAAGUAACUAUGCACGUCUUGACGGUACCUAAUCAGAAAGCCACGGCUAACUACGUG
rnacentral:rRNA from 1 species